AGUGAACGCUGGCGGUAGGCCUAACACAUGCAAGUCGAACGGCAGCACAGUAAGAGCUUGCUCUUACGGGUGGCGAGUGGCGGACGGGUGAGGAAUACAUCGGAAUCUACUUUUUCGUGGGGGAUAACGUCGGGAAACUUACGCUAAUACCGCAUACGACCUACGGGUGAAAGCAGGGGAUCUUCGGACCUUGCGCGAGUGAAUGAGCCGACGGCGGAUUAGCUAGUUGGCGGGGUAAAGGCCCACCAAGGCGACGAUCCGUAGCUGGUCUGAGAGGAUGAUCAGCCACACUGGAACUGAGACACGGUCCAGACUCCUACGGGAGGCAGCAGUGGGGAAUAUUGGACAAUGGGCGCAAGCCUGAUCCAGCCAUACCGCGUGGGUGAAGAAGGCCUUCGGGUUGUAAAGCCCUUUUGUUGGGAAAGAAAAGCAGCAGGUUAAUACCCCGCUGUUCUGACGGUACCCAAAGAAUAAGCACCGGCUAACUUCGUG
rnacentral:rRNA from 1 species